rnacentral:rRNA from 1 species
CUGGGAAUUGCACUCAAAACUGUACGGCUAGAGUGUGGGAGAGGAAGGUAGAAUUCCAGGUGUAGCGGUGAAAUGCGUAGAUAUCUGGAGGAAUACCGAUGGCGAAGGCAGCCUUCUGGCCUAACACUGACGCUGAGGUGCGAAAGCAUGGGGAGCAAACAGGAUUAGAUACCCUGGUAGUCCAUGCCGUAAACGAUGUCUACUAGCCGUUGGGGGACUUGAUCCUUUAGUGGCGCAGCUAACGCAUUAAGUAGACCGCCUGGGGAGUACGGUCGCAAGACUAAAACUCAAAUGAAUUGACGGGGGCCCGCACAAGCGGUGGAGCAUGUGGUUUAAUUCGAUGCAACGCGAAGAACCUUACCUGGCCUUGACAUGUCCGGAAUCCUGCAGAGAUGCGGGAGUGCCUUCGGGAAUCGGAACACAGGUGCUGCAUGGCUGUCGUCAGCUCGUGUCGUGAGAUGUUGGGUUAAGUCCCGCAACGAGCGCAACCCUUGUCCUUAGUUGCCAGCACGUAAUGGUGGGAACUCUAGGGAGACUGCCGGUGACAAACCGGAGGAAGGCGGGGACGACGUCAAGUCAUCAUGGCCCUUACGGCCAGGGCUACACACGUGCUACAAUGGUCGGUACAAAGGGUUGCUAGCCCGCGAGGGUACGCCAAUCUCAAAAAGCCGAUCGUAGUCCGGAUUGGAGUCUGCAACUCGACUCCAUGAAGUCGGAAUCGCUAGUAAUCGCGGAUCAGAAUGCCGCGGUGAAUACGUUCCCGGGCCUUGUACACACCGCCCGUCACACCAUGGGAGUUUACUGCACCAGAAGUAGGUAGCUUAACCGCAAGGAGGGCGCUUACCACGGUGUGGUCAAUGACUGGGGUGAAGUCGUAACAAGGUAGCCG